GAGGGUCUAGCUCAGCGAUAGAGUGCAUGCCUAGCAUGCAUGAGGUCCUGGGUUCAUUCAAUCCCCAGUACCUCCA
rnacentral:tRNA from 1 species